AUGAACGCUGGCGGCGUGCCUAACACAUGCAAGUCGAACGGAGUCCAGCCUUUCAGACCUUCGGGUCAAAGAGGGGAAGACUGAGUGGCGGACGGGUGAGUAACACGUGGGCAACCUGGCUCAUAGAGGGGGAUAACAGAGAGAAAUUUCUGCUAAUACCGCAUAAGCACACACUGCCGCAUGGCAGAGGGUGAAAAGAGAAUCGCUAUGAGAUGGACCCGCGUCUGAUUAGCCAGUUGGCAGGGUAAGAGCCUACCAAAGCGACGAUCAGUAGCCGAUCUGAGAGGAUGAACGGCCACAUUGGGACUGAGACACGGCCCAAACUCCUACGGGAAGCAGCAGUGGGGGAUAUUGCACAAUGGGGGGAACCCUGAUGCAGCGACGCCGCGUGAGUGAAGAAGUAUUUCGGUAUGUAAAGCUCUAUCAGCAGGGAAGAUAAUGACAGUACCUGAAUAAGAAGCCCCGGCUAACUACGUG
rnacentral:rRNA from 1 species